GGCUCUACAAUUCAAUGAAUAGGGUGCCGGUCUCCAAAAUCGAAGGUCCAGGGUUCGAAUCCUUGUUGAAUCA